rnacentral:siRNA from 1 species
CGCAAUGAGUUUUUAGGAACUACC